rnacentral:lncRNA from 1 species
UCUCGUCGAUCUAGGAGAAGCUCGGAUGUUUCGAGGUUGCUGACGAAUCUACUGUUGUCGGACGCCUCGGGCGCUGAUGCUACAGGUGGGAGUCAUCUGCUGUAGAAGCUCGGAUGAUAAUUUUUCAUUGGUGAAGUCCGGUAGGAGUCCGAUUGCUAGAGAAGUUCGUCUGGGAUUUGCCUGACGUGGAAGCUCGUCUGAAGAUUAUCCAUCGGAG